rnacentral:piRNA from 1 species
UGAUUAGCUGAAGCCUCG